CUCUUAUCAAGAGCGGCGGAGGGACUAGGCCCUGCGAAGCCCGGCAACCGGCAGGUGUAUCCUGCAAAGGUGCUAAUUCCUACAGUUCCGGAGACGGACUGGCAGAUAAGGG
rnacentral:ncRNA from 2 species